rnacentral:rRNA from 1 species
GACGAACGCUGGCGGCGUGCCUAAUACAUGCAAGUAGAACGCACAGUUUAUACCGUAGCUUGCUACACCAUAGACUGUGAGUUGCGAACGGGUGAGUAACGCGUAGGUAACCUGCCUGGUAGCGGGGGAUAACUAUUGGAAACGAUAGCUAAUACCGCAUAAUAUUGAUUAUUGCAUGAUAAUUGAUUGAAAGAUGCUAUUGCAUCACUACCAGAUGGACCUGCGUUGUAUUAGCUAGUAGGUGAGGUAACGGCUCACCUAGGCGACGAUACAUAGCCGACCUGAGAGGGUGAUCGGCCACACUGGGACUGGGACACGGCCCAGACUCCUACGGGAGGGAGCAGUAGGGAAUCUUCGGCAAUGGACGAAAGUCUGACCGAGCAACGCCGCGUGAGUGAAGAAGGUUUUCGGAUCGUAAAGCUCUGUUGUAAGAGAAGAACGGGUGUGAGAGUGGAAAGUUCACACUGUGACGGUAUCUUACCAGAAAGGGACGGCUAACUACGUG